rnacentral:rRNA from 1 species
CGGCACGGGUGGAGUAACACGUGAGUGACCUGCCUUUUAGUACUGGAACGAAACUUACCGAAAGGUAGAGCUAAUGCCGGAUGAGUUAUAUAAGUGCAUGUUUAUAUAGGAAAAGUUGGGGAGACCUGACGCUGAAAGAUGGACUCGCGUCCCAUUAGCUAGUUGGUAGGGUAAUGGCCUACCAAGGCGACGAUGGGUAGCCGGCCUGAGAGGGUGGCCGGCCACACUGGGACUGAGACACGGCCCAGACUCCUACGGAAGGCAGCAG